AAUUGGUGCCCCUAUAAUGGUGAGGUUCUGUGCGGUCGCUCAACUCGCGUGCCCUCAGGGCCGCCUCUGUGUGGGGAUAGGAGCUUGCAUCAAUCACUGGCAAGUCAAAGCAAAAUUUAUUUUUGAUUCACAAUCUGACUUUGUCAAAUUUGUUUCUGUUUGUGCAUGUGCCUGCCUGCAUUCGUUGUCUAUCACAUAAAAUGCAAUAUGAAGAUUCAUAGUUACCUAAGUUGCACAGACACAUGCAUGGACAGCGACAUUUAACUAUUGGAAAGGUAGGACAUGACGCAUUGGAGACAAGUCGAUUUUGAAUUCUUUGAAAUUUAAAAUUUAUAUAUAGUAUCUUUAUUUUUAUAUAGGACACGACCACAUGACAUAUCGAAAACUUACUCAGGGAUGUCUCUAAAGUAUCCAUUUAGUGUCGAUAAUUUAAAAAUUAUAUAAAAAAUGGGACAAGGGCAUGUAUUGGCUACAUUUUCUCGAGUAGUGUCUGACUGUUGAGGUGCUCGUAAGUUGGUCCGGACAUCCAUGGUUAUAAAAAAUAUAUAUAUAAUAACAUGCUUGAAACAAUUUUCAUCAAGACUCUCUCCUGGUAAUUUUUCGUCAUUAAAAGAAAUCGAUCCAAGACCAGCCCCGUGAUUUCCUACUCUUUUCUGCAGCCAAGAGGUCAAAAAUUUAGCAGCCACGAAGAGUAAAGUAGUGCAGAGGAACCAUAGUGUUACUCCUGUGAAGAAACCAGUUGUUAGUCCCAGAUUUGCAGCUUCUUCAUCCUCCAAAACUCGCUAAGCCACUGUAAACGAGACUCGACAUGGCCUCAAUGAAUCUUUGACUCUCUAUUUUGAGUAAGCAAUGUUGUAAAAUUAUGUACUUACAAGCAUUAGAACACAAUAUAUAUUUCAGUACAAUUGUUCCUCUGUUUAUACACCAUUGUCUCCACUUUCUUUGA